GCGCCGGCAGUAAACGCCGCCGCACGUCCCACCUCCCCUCCCCACGACCCGAUGUCAGGACCCAGUGUCAGGCCAGGGGCGCCGAGCUGGGCUUGUCAGCAACCUUAGGAUGAUGAACUAGCAAAACGUCUCAAGCUACAGGAAAACUAAGACGCGCUGGUGGGCCCACUCUAAGUGCAAGUCAGGAAGCGCUUUAUUCUAUUUAGAAACAGCGUAACCGUGGGUACCCCGUGCACUUCGAAGACCUGUACGAAUUAAAGCCUCACCGGAGUCAGAGCGCAGGAGAGGCGUCUGACCCAGGCCGGACCCGGACCCCCAAAGGCCACCGGCGCAGCUCGGCGCAGCUCGGGAAGGAAAGACGAGCCCGACCCCGGGCCGCAGCGCAGGCGUCAACGGACCAGAGCCCAGGAGGCAGCCCUCGGGUGAAGGGACACCAUGCCAGGCAGGCCCGCUCCCAACCCCAGGAGGGUCCGCGGCCAGGCUGCUUUCUCCGGAGGAGGCGCCUGUUAACCCCGCACACAUCCGUGCCUGUUUGCCCUCAAGUCCUUGCAACAAAUGAUGCGAUUAAACGCAGACAUCCACAUCGCAAAAAGAGAUCCUGCGUCAUGUCGUGUCUAAAAAUUAAUUUCUAGAUUUAAAGGUGAAAGCUAAAGGAGUAAAGUUUUCAAGGAAAACGGGGAAAAAUCUGCUUGAUUUAGGAGCAGGUUAAGGCUUCUUGGCAGUAACCCUAAGAGAAUAAAUAGAGAAAUUAGAGGUCA
rnacentral:lncRNA from 1 species